rnacentral:rRNA from 1 species
CUACGGGACGCUGCAGUGGGGAAUUUUGGACAAUGGGCGAAAGCCUGAUCCAGCAAUGCCGCGUGUGUGAAGAAGGCCUUCGGGUUGUAAAGCACUUUUGUCCGGAAAGAAAUCCUUUGGGUUAAUACCUCGGGGGGAUGACGGUACCGGAAGAAUAAGCACCGGCUAACUACGUGCCGGCAGCCGCGGUAAUACGUAGGGUGCAAGCGUUAAUCGGAAUUACUGGGCGUAAAGCGUGCUCAGGCGGUUUUGUAAGACGGAUGUGAAAUCCCCGGGCUUAACCUGGGAACUGCAUUCGUGACUGCAAGGCUAGAGUAUGGCAGAGGGGGGUAGAAUUCCACGUGUAGCAGUGAAAUGCGUAGAGAUGUGGAGGAAUACCGAUGGCGAAGGCAGCCCCCUGGGCCAAUACUGACGCUCAUGCACGAAAGCGUGGGGAGCAAACAGGAUUAGAUACCCCUGUAGUC